rnacentral:rRNA from 1 species
GACGUAGGGCGCGAGCGUUGUCCGGAUUUAUUGGGCGUAAAGAGCUCGUAGGCGGCUUGUUGCGUCGACCGUGAAAACCCGCGGCUUAACCGUGGGCUUGCGGUCGAUACGGGCGGGCUGGAGUUCGGUAGGGGAGACUGGAAUUCCUGGUGUAGCGGUGGAAUGCGCAGAUAUCAGGAGGAACACCGGUGGCGAAGGCGGCUUGCUGGGCCUUACCUGACGCUGAGGAGCGAAGGCGUGUGGAGCGAACAGG